CGAGUGAAGCGGCAAAAGCUCAAAUUUGAAAUCUGGCACCUCCGGUGUCCGAGUUGUAAUUUGGAGAGGCAUCUUCCGGGGGGGUCCAGCCUAUGUUCCUUGGAACAGGACAUCACAGAGGGUGAGAAUCCCGUUCAUGGUUGGAUGUACCCUUCGUCAGGUGGUGCCUUCUACGAGUCGAGUUGUUUGGGAAUGCAGCUCAAAAUGGGUGGUAAAUUUCAUCUAAAGCUAAAUAUUGGCGAGAGACCGAUAGCGCACAAGUAGAGUGAUCGAAAGAUGAAAAGCACUUUGAAAAUAGAGUCAAAAAGUACGUGAAAUUGUUGAAAGGGAAGCGCUUGAGACCAGACUCAGCCUUGGACAAACCUCCCUUCUGGGUGGACACCUGACCUUGGCUGGGCCAGCAUCAGUUAGGACGGUGGAAUAAAGGCUCGAGGAAUGUGACUCCACUUAGGAGUGUUAUAGCCUCGGGUGCCAUCCCACCUGCCCUGACUGUGGACCGCGCUUCGGCUAGGAUGCUGGCAUAAUGGUCUUUAGCGGCCCGUCUUGAAACACGGACCAAGGAGUCUAACAUCUAUGCAAGUGUUUGGGCUACAGACCCUCACGCGUAAUAAAAGUGAACGGAGGUGGGAACCCCGAGUGGGGCGCACCAUCGACCGAUCCUGAUGUCUUCGGAUGGAUUUGAGUAGGAGCAUAGCUGUUGGGACCCGAAAGAUGGUGAACUAUGCCUGAAUAGGGUGAAGCCAGAGGAAACUCUGGUGGAGGCUCGCAGCGGUUCUGACGUGCAAAUCGAUCGUCAAAUUUGGGUAUAGGGGCGAAAGACUAAUCGAACCAUCUAGUAGCU
rnacentral:rRNA from 1 species